rnacentral:lncRNA from 1 species
GAGGAUUCUACCUCAGGUGAAGAUAGGAGCAGCUCCAGUUCCUCUGAAGGUAAAGAGAAACACAAGAAAAAGAAGAAGAAAGAAAAGCAUAAGAAAAGGAAGAAAGAAAAGAAAAAGAAGAAAAAACGGAAGCACAAAUCUUCCAAGUCAAAUGAGGGUUCUGACUCAGAGUGACAAGGAUGUGACUUGUUCAACAUUCUCUUCUCAAACACUGACCAAGGAACAGAGGAAGAUGCAGUCAGAGAAAGUAGCAGGAUAGAGACGCCGAGAGAGGAGUAUAUGUGGGUCACAGCAGUGAGCUCCCACCCGCCUUGCAGUGAAGAUGUGACCCCAGGAGAGGGAGUGUCUCCUUCCAGGUGCUAGCUCUGGACAGCAGCUGAUUUUAGGCAGGAAAGUUUCUUCAUCGUUGUCCUCCCUGCUGGUCACAUGAGUUUACGAUUCCUUAGAAGUGUCUCCCACAGGGUGGCAGGACUGGGAGAAUCUCUGAGGCGUGUCUUCCAGGCCCUCCCACAGCUUGUGCCCUCCACAGUGUAGACUUGAACACUUGGCCUCAUGUGAUCCUUCCACCUUGGCCUCCCAAAGCAUUGGGAUUACAGGCGAGAGCCACUGGUUGGCUAAAAUAUUUAUAUUUACCUGACAUGAUUUGUUGAUUUGGGGGCUAGGGAGUUCUUAAAACAACAAUAAAAAAUCUUCUGUGGCUGCAUUCUACUUCACUUGCUUUCUACUGCCAGAGUCCCAUGAUUUUCACAGAGUGACUGACUCAGAAAAGGUUUAGGAAUAUAGGGGGAUUUGUGUACUAGGUCAGGUAUCCACAUCCCAAAAUCCAUCCCUCCCUUUCUUCCUCUUCCUGUUGCCUGACCACAGCCCACCUGUGCUCUUGUAGCUGAAACUAGGCCACAGUAGAGGCAUCUCAGGAGGCCAGGGUGUGUCUGCAGCUGGAGGAGAGGAAGUCUAUCCUUUGCUGCGCCAAAGUGAAGCGGAUCUUGCUCAUAGGCAAGUGUGUCCCUCUGUGGCUAGCACUGGUCUCUUGCUGCUUUAGGCACUCAGUCAGGGUCCCAGAAACUCACUCCCAUUUUCUGCCACUUUUCCUGGGGUUUGGAUUCCCUCCUUUUUAAGGAACAGCCAAGCCAGGCCCAGACUGACCCUUCUUCAAGUCUCAUCAGUCAAUGCUCCUGUUCUUGGCCUCGGAAUACCACCUCAGGAAAACAAUCGGUUGAGAUUGGAAUGGCCAGGACUUAACUAUUUCUGAAAACUGUAAGGCCAGUGGAUUCAGCCUUGCCUUACACUUAUCCUUGUCAUGCAGAACACAGGCCAUCUGUCCUCUGCCAUAUGCUCAGCAUUUCUUACCCAGGUACAGCCGGUCCUCUUCUUCCAGGAAUUGGCUACUGUCCCUCUGCAAUCCCAUUCAUGAUAAAAGCAUUCUUAUACAACACAAAAGAUGCUGCAUCAAUGAUUCUCAAACCUCCAAGACAUCCAAAUCAACUAGCAUGCUUAAGAUGCAGAUUCCUGUGCUCGACUCACCAACUUCCAGAAUUUUCCAUUCCCUAGGUCUGAGGUGAACCUGGGAAUCUGCCUUGCUAACAAAUGAUGCUGACACUGUUGAUUUGGGGACCCCACUUGGAGAACCUGGGCUCUAGAUCUCUACCCUCUUACUGAAGCCUUCUUCCACUUCCUGCUUUAACUGGAAUCCAGCCGUCCACCCCUGUAGCCCUUGCAAAGUGAAUCGUCCCUUUUCCCUCACUCUGUUUUUUUCUCCUCUGUUUCUAGCCUAGAUUCCAAGGAACAUCACUUUGGCCUGUCAUCUCCCCUGAUCUGUGAUCCUUUUGUCCAGCUUUCCCCAAAGAAGCAUCAAUCAAAAUCUUCCGCUUUGCUCCUAUAGACAGACUACAGGGGAAAAAUCCCAGAGCCCCUACAAAUCCAUCUCCAAACUCAAAUGAGAACUGAGCUCAAAAAGCCCACUAGCAAACCAGAAGUGUGCUAGCCACCCACUUAAACUUUCUUUUUCAGACAUCUCUUUCAGAUAUACAUUUUCCAUUACUAUCCAGGGAGACAAAAUAAGCCCUUAAACCUCCCUUCACUCAGACAUCGUAUGAUGAAUGUCAGACAUCCUACUGAUAUGGUUUGGAUGUUUGUCCGCUCCAAAUCUCAUGAUGAAAUGUAAUCCCCAGUGUUGGAGAUGAGGCCUGGUGGGAGGUGUCUGGAUGAUGGGGGCAGAUCCCUCAUGAAUGGGUUAGUGCCAUCCCCUUGGUGAUGAGUCAGUUCACACCAGAUCUGGUUGUUUAAGUGUGAGUGGCACCUCUCCCUCCCUCUUUUGCUCUGGCUGUUGCUGUCACCAUGUGAUAUGCUGGCUCCUCAUUGCCUUCCACCGUGACUGUAAACUUCUUGAGGCCUCACCGGAAAGAUAUUCCAGCACCACACUUCUCGUACUGUCUGCAGAACCUUGAGCCAGGCAGGUGUCUUUUCUUUAUAAAUUACCCAGGCUAAAAUGGCAUCAUGAUUUCUCCCACUAAUCUUCAGACUGUUAAUAGGAUGCACUUUACUCCUGUGACUAGAUUGUGUUACCAGUACAAGGAAAGGGAGACCACCUGGGUGUUCCUAACCAAAUCAUGAGAACCCUCUGGAACUCGAUUUGUCCCUGGCUGUUAACCAAAGAGGAGGUCAGAGAGUCCAAGCCUGUGAAAGAUUCCACGCAUCAUUACUGGUUUUAGAGUUGAAGGGGCCACAUGGUGAGGGAUGCAGCAAACUCUCAUCAAAGGUUCCUGACUAACAGCCAGCAAGGAAAUGGAGCUCUCAGUCCUACAGCUGAAAAGAUCCGCAUUCUGCCACCCUCAAUGGUUCUGGAUGCAUAUUCUUACCCAGAGCCUCCAGAUGGAAGCCCACCUCUGCUGACAUCUUCGGUUGGGGUUUGUGAGAUGCAAGGUCGAGAACCCAGUUGAGCCUGCUCAGGCUUCUGACCUACACCACUGUGAGGUAAUCAGUGGUGGUGGUUUUGAGCUUUUACAUUUGUGAGAAAGUGUUAAUGCAGCAACAAACUGAUCCAGAGGUUUAAUGAGCUUUCCCUCCUCCUCUCAGGCCAGUCCAUCACCUAUGCUCUGGAUCCCACCAACAGCCAGCAGUAGGGGGCAGUGGCUGGAGCACUGGCCCUGCAUCCAGACUGCCUGGCUUUGAAUCCCAGCUUUGCUAGCUGUGGAGUUGCUCCACCUCUCUGUGCCUCCGUGUCCUUGACUAAUCAUGUCUACCAGACUUCUAGUGAGAAUAAGGGGACUUGAUAUCCAUAAAGCAUUUAGAGCAGGGUGUGGCACAUCUCAACUCUAAAUGAAUGUUACCUGCUCCUGCUGCUACUGCUGUCACCAUCAUCUAAUCCUCAGGGAACUUCCUCCUCCUUUAUCCCAUGUCACUCACGUCUUCAAACUCUUCCUUUCUAUUGUGAUCUUGCCCCAGUAUUUAAAAAUUGUUUUGGCUCAUGCCUGUAAUCUCAACACUGGGAGGUCGAGGUAGGUGGAUCACUUGAGGUCAAGAGUUUGAGACCAGCCUGGCCAACAUGGUGAAACCCCAUGUCUAUCAAAAAUACAAAAAUUAGCUGGGCAUGGUGAUACACACCUGUAAUCCCAGCUACUCGGGAGGCUGAGGCAGGAGAAUCACUUGAACCUGGGAGGCGGAGGUUGCAGUGAGCAGAAAUUAUGCCACUGCACUCCAGCCUGGGCAACAGAGUGAGACCCUGCUCCCCAAACCCCACCAAAAAAAAAAAACAAAAAACAAUUGUUUUAAAACUGUAAAAUACAUGCCCGUAAAGAGUUCACAAUUCUGAGCCAUUGGAGAACAAAAAGUGAAAAGGGAGUCUACUUAUGAUGCUUUGAUACAGUGCUCCAGAUCCUGAUCAAAAUGCAUUAGCAAACACACACAUGUAAAUGCACGGUUUUUGGUUAGCUUUACAUAACUGAUAGACACUAGUAAUACUGUUCUGUGACUUCAUUUCACUCACCGUAUGUUGGCAAUUUUACUGCUCACUACAAGCUUCAAAUGGCUACAAAAUUCCUUGGUUUGAAUGUGCCAUGAUUUGUUUAACCAUUAAUCUAUUUAUCAGAAUGCAAUUCUUUCCCAUUUCUCAUUCCUACAAAGAAGACUGAAAAUAAAAAUUU